rnacentral:tRNA from 1 species
UAUUGAAUAGCUAAAAGUUAGCAAUGGAUUUUUAAACCGUAAAUAGUAUUUAACGCCUACUUUCAAUA